rnacentral:rRNA from 1 species
GACGAACGCUGGUGGCGUGCUUAACACAUGCAAGUCGAACGAUGAACCACUUCGGUGGGGAUUAGUGGCGAACGGGUGAGUAACACGUGGGCAAUCUGCCCUUCACUCUGGGACAAGCCCUGGAAACGGGGUCUAAUACCGGAUAACACUUCCACUCUCCUGGGUGGAGGUUAAAAGCUCCGGCGGUGAAGGAUGAGCCCGCGGCCUAUCAGCUUGUUGGUGAGGUAAUGGCUCACCAAGGCGACGACGGGUAGCCGGCCUGAGAGGGCGACCGGCCACACUGGGACUGAGACACGGCCCAGACUCCUACGGGAGGCAGCAGUGGGGAAUAUUGCACAAUGGGCGAAAGCCUGAUGCAGCGACGCCGCGUGAGGGAUGACGGCCUUCGGGUUGUAAACCUCUUUCAGCAGGGAAGAAGCGAAAGUGACGGUACCUGCAGAAGAAGCGCCGGCUAACUACGUGCCAGCAGCCGCGGUAAUACGUAGGGCGCAAGCGUUGUCCGGAAUUAUUGGGCGUAAAGAGCUCGUAGGCGGCUUGUCACGUCGGGUGUGAAAGCCCGGGGCUUAACCCCGGGUCUGCAUUCGAUACGGGCUAGCUAGAGUGUGGUAGGGGAGAUCGGAAUUCCUGGUGUAGCGGUGAAAUGCGCAGAUAUCAGGAGGAACACCGGUGGCGAAGGCGGAUCUCUGGGCCAUUACUGACGCUGAGGAGCGAAAGCGUGGGG